UGGUGAACACUUGGGCCGCAUGGGCUGUGCAGUCUGUUGUAACUCCAUAAGUAUGCCUCUGGGCCUUGUGAGGGAAAGAAACCAUCCACAGAUGACAUGCAAGCAAGUGAACACACUGUGUAUAUCCCAGAAAAAAUUCAAAAUGGACAUUCGAAUAUUGGGCAAUUUUCAUGUGUUCCAAAGCAGUUUCCCAGGGAAUGCCUGCUGAAGUUGGGGGCUGAGACAAAAAUGUGAUCGAGGAGGAAUGUUGGAGGAGACUCUCUGCAUGAUCUACUGGAAAUGAGCCCUGGGAGAUGAAGAGCAGCAUUCAGGACGGCCAGUUCAGCUUCGGACUCUGUUAUCAUCAUAUAUCUCCACCCAGCUCUACCUCUGCACCUGUGUCAUACAGCCCUGGGAGAUGAAGAGCAGCAUUCAGGACGGCCAGUUCAGCUUCGGACUCUGUUAUCAUCAUAUAUCUCCACCAAGCUCUACCUCUGCACCUAUGUCAUACAGCCCAGCACUGUCCCCUAUUGUUUGUGAUUUUGACUGUGAUGUUCUCUUGUUCACUCUUAACUUUCUGUUUUUUCUUUCCCUGGAUUCUUUCUCCUUACAUCUCCUAAAGUUGAGACACUGCCAUGGCUAUGAUAGCUGAGUACUUAGCUUUAUUUCCUUUUACUUAGUCUAACCACCGCAGUUUCCAAAUCUCCCUCUCAUUUUCCCCGUUACCUCUAUUCUUUCUAUUUUCAUGUAAGUCCUUCUCUACUUCCCAUAUAGCAAUCCAAUGCUAUUUACUAAUUUCAUCCUGAUUGCUUAAUUCUUUUUCUUUUCCUUGCCCU